ACAAACUUGGUCAUUUAGAGGAAGUAAAAGUCGUAACAAGGUUUCCGUAGGUAUGUAUCGACUCCCUGCCCCCCGGGUGCUGGGACAUGCUAACGUUCUCUAGGUGAACCUGCGGAAGGAUCAUUACCGAGUAUUGGGGCCCAGCGCCCCUACUCCCGCCCAAUGUCUACCGAGCUCCCGUUGCUUUGGCGGGCCUGUGCCCGCCGGGGAACUGCAGAAACUCUCUGACGCGUCUUCUGAGUCGCGGGGAACUGGAUAAAACUUUCAACAACGGAUCUCUUGGCUCCGGCAUCGAUGAAGAACGCAGC
rnacentral:misc_RNA from 1 species